rnacentral:lncRNA from 1 species
UAUCGAGGGCUGCGAGGCCUAGGCCCAGCACCUACAGCUCCUUGGGCUCUGGGGGUCAGCGGCGCCGUCAUGAGCACCGCCUCUCGCUCCUCACCCGCACAGGGCACGCACAGCAGCCGUCCUGACCAAGCCCAGGCCUGUGUGAUCUUUGUGCCACAUCCAUUCAUCACGCUAGCCCCGCCUGGAAUGCAGACUCCGCCUCCCCGAGAAGGGCCUUUUCACGCCGCGGAAAAGACUCAACAUCGGCGUGCGUCCUCACUCUGCGGUCCCGGGAGUCCGUCCUGUGAGAAUUCAGAAACCGGAGGUCAGUCCAGUUCUGAAGCUAAACAGCCGUUCCGUUGCCUUGGCACAAAACCCUCCACACCUGGGUGGUGGCUCACUAUUGCAAUUUGUUUAAAAAAUUGCAUAGAAAAUGAAGAAAAAGAAAGACAGGAAAAGAAAAAAGAGAAGGAAAGAAAAUAGAGUUAAUGGGAUAAGCUACAUCCCAGCUGCUUCAAUUGGUCUUGAGAUUAUAAUUUAUCAUCAUGCACUAUUCUCAGUUCUCAACUUUUGGGCAGAAAUUUUUCUCAUAAAAUUCUUUUUUGUAGAGAUAUACUUCAUAAACCAUGAAAUUCACUCUUUGAAGUGCAGUUCGGUGGUUUUUACUGUAUUCUCACAAUUGUGCCACUAUCCAAUUUCAGGAUGCCUGCCUUUGCCCUCCGUACCCGUUAGCAGUUACUCUCCUUGGUCUCCUCUGCCCCACCACCCCUGACAACUGCCAAUUUACUUUCUGCCCCUGUGGAUUUGCCUGUUCUGGAAAUUCCAUAGAGAUGGAACCAUACAGUAUGUGGUCUUUGCAUCUGACAUCUUUCACUCAAUACUUUCUACGUUCAUCCAUACUGUAGCAUAUACCAGUACUUCAUUCCUUUUUAUGUCCAAAUUAUCUUAUUGAAUGGGUGGGUAUACUACUGUAUCUGUCCAUUCAAGGUGGAUAUCAUGGGUAUAUAGCUGAGAGUACAAUUUCUAGAUUAUAUGGUAACUCUAUUUUUAACUUUUUGGGAAACUGCUAAACUUUUUUUCCAAAGCAGUUAUGCCAUUUUACAUUCCCAGCAGCAGUGUAUGAGGAUUCUAUUCCAGUUUCUUCACAUCCUGACCGAUACCUGUUCUUCCUUUUGAUUACGGCCAUCAUAGUGGAUAUGAAGUGGUCAUCAUGGCUUUGAUUAGCAUUUCCUUAAUGAUACUGAAUAAGUUUUCAUGUGCUUGUUUUGGCCAUUGAUUUUGCUGGUCUGGUGCUUUUAAAUGAGACUUCAUCCCUGAAGGCUCAGAGCCCCUGGUUUGGUUGACUGAAACAAACUGGGUUGCUGCAAUUGCCUCUUCGCAGUUAAAACUGGGCCUGGGAACACCUAGAGGCAGCCCGUAAAUCCUGUGACCUGCAGACAUCACCUUCUCUGUCUUCAUUGUGUAAGCAGGAACCUGGGGUCUUUUUGAUCACUAGAGCCAACGAGCUAUGCCAACAUAACACCUCCUUCUUUUGCCUGGGGGGGCUACUGACACACAGAGCCCACAUGACCAGGUGGCAGCAUAGCUUUAGGUCACUGUGACUGCUGAUAGGAGCAUUUCUCUCUGGGGAUCCAGGGGCUCCGGUUCAGCAAGAAUUUAAGUUGCAGGGAGAAGAAAUGGACUCCUUAAGUGGGCCACUGAGGAUGAUGGUGGCGUGCCCACUGCUCUCCUUUGGUUCUUGGGUUCAUGCCCUCUGCUGGGGACUCAUCACCACAUAAUGGCUCUUGGAUGAAAGUAUAAACACAUCUCAGUGGAGAGCGCUCUAAUGUGUAAGAUGUCCUUCCAGAGU